UCUGUGGUGUAGUGGUAACGCCUUGACUUAGUAAGCAUAAGUCCUUGGUUCGAGUCCAGGUUGGGGAA